rnacentral:rRNA from 1 species
GUCUUUUUGAUUUUAAUUUAAAGUCUAGCCUGCCCAAUGAGUAGUUGAAUGGCCGCAGUAUUUUGACUGUGCAAAGGUAGCAUAAUCAUUAGUUUCUUAAUUAGGAACUGGUAUGAAAGGUUGGACGAGAAAAUAACUGUCUCUUUAUAAAUUUUUUAGAAUUUUAUUUUUAAGUUAAAAAGCUUAAAUUUUUUUAAAAGACGAGAAGACCCUAUAGAGUUUUAUAUAAUUUAAUUUAAUAAUAAAUAUAGAAUUAUUAAAAUUUUAUUUUAAAUUAUAUUUGAUUGGGGUGAUUAAAAAAUUUAAACAACUUUUUUUAUAUAUAAACAUUAAUUUAUGAAUUAUUGAGCCAUAAUAAUAUUAUGAUUAAAAGAUUAAAUUACCUUAGGGAUAACAGCGUAAUUUCUUUUUAGAGUUCAAAUCGAUAAAGAAGUUUGCGACCUCGAUGUUGGAUUAAAAUUUAAUUUUGGUGUAGAAGCUAUAAUAUUAGGUCUGUUCGACCUUUAAAAUUUUACAUGAUCUGAGUUUAAACCGGUGUAAGCCAGGUUGGUUUCUAUCUUUAAAUUAUUAAAAUAUUUUAGUACGAAAGGACCAAAUAUUAUUAUUAAAUAU